CCUGCGUCUUAGUCGUCUGUAAAUUUUUGAAAUCGACUAGACAUCAAAACAUCAUACAUAAAAACAUCAUACAUAAAAAAUGGCGAUGUGAAGUUGGGCGUUUCACAUAUCCUCUCCCUGGAUAAAGCUAAAUAUUUAUGAAAGUGACGUUGGACGUGUGCACAUAUUGGGUCUAAGAUAAAGCCAGACUUCGUGCUAUUUCUAUUGACCGUGAGAAUUUAGAUACUAUUGUUGGUGUGUAAGGCUGAAACAGAAGAUAUCCAAGGGCCAGGAGGGAGAGAAGCUUCUCUCUAAAGUCGAUUCCAUCAACAUAACCUUACAAAAGCUAUAGCCCUAAGCUAAUUUGCAAUAAUCGUAUAUUGAACCUAUUAGCCAGGGGAAUCCAAUAAAGAGCAUACGACCCUGUGGGUGCUGCCAUCCCCUUCUACACCCACACUUCAACGGACUGAGAAGGGGGUGUGGUCAAUGGGCGGCAUCGAAGUCUCCAUGGAAUGGCACAACACGCGAACGGCGAGCAUGCAAGAGGCAACGAUACAAAACGCUAGCGCAGCGGUGACGAAAACGCUGAAACAACAACUACAUCUACAACUGCAAAAGCCGACAGCAAGUUGAAUGACAUAAACCAUCAACUGACCUUCAACUCUGAGACUGAACCUUAGAAAAAACGAACACAUAGCCUCAUGCAAAUGGGAAUGCGAGAGUGGCGCAUGCAACUUACAGCUUUACAGCUCGUUCGUUGUGGGAAAGAGAUGUCGGGUGAGAGGAAGAGGAAAUCGCCUAAAGCACUGAGCCGUAACGAAAAUUGUUGUUGCAACCAGACCCCCGCUCUCUCUCGCACUAAUACUUCCACAGCCAGUGCACACCACCCCCCUAUCCAACACACCCAUAGCCCCUGUAAUGGGCGGCAGCAGAGGAAGUCGGCGGACAAUUGCGCAUGAUACGCUCCAGAUUCUAGAGGUGGGAGAGUGAAGAGCGAUGAGUCACGACGAACUGAUCGAAAGGUGAUCCCAUAAUGAUCCACUGCUUGUGCAGAUGGUUUUACGAUAGGGGCGGAAAAUGAAACCUGAAAACGGGAGAAGAUGAGACCACCAAAGUACACCCAGUGCCGAUGACGUAAAUUGCCGAUGGAUGCCGAUGAACGGAGCAUGCUCUUGCACUUGGCAGACUGCAACAGCUCUCUGCGAAGAGGACUACAACUACUAUGGAAGGUAGCAGAGCAGAGCGGCCUAUUUCUCGAUGGGCGUUGUACAAUUGAACAGAUAUGUACAUGAUGUUACGAAGGUUGAGGACGGGUGCGAUAGUUACAAGUAAAAUGCACAAAAUGUUCUUAAAACUCACAUCUGGGUCAUUUCUAGGUAUUUAUUAAAUGGUGUUUAAAGUCUCCAGUUUAUUGCUGAAUUUAAAGCAUAAUUUAUAGGCGUUAAAAUCGAAAUCCUUGACGUCAGAUAGUGAAACUAAAGAUUACAUGUGGUCGAAUUAUAGUAAUGUCCUUAACAUUGUAGCACUAACAAACACAAGUUUUGAUAUCAACUCAACCUUUUUUUUUUCCACAAUUAACAUUAAUUUAUUUAUUACUUCUUCGAUAAAUACGGAGGGAACUGCGAUAAAA